CAGCAGCCGCGGUAAUACGUAGGGUGCAAGCGUUAAUCGGAAUUACUGGGCGUAAAGCGUGCGUAGGUGGUGGUUUAAGUCCGUUGUGAAAGCCCUGGGCUCAACCUGGGAAUUGCAGUGGAUACUGGGUCACUAGAGUGUGGUAGAGGAUAGUGGAAUUUCCGGUGUAGCAGUGAAAUGCGUAGAGAUCGGAAGGAACAUCUGUGGCGAAGGCGACUAUCUGGGCCAACACUGACACUGAGGCACGAAAGCGUGGGGAGCAAACAGGAUUAGAUACCCCCGUAGUCCCUGUCUCUUAUAC
rnacentral:rRNA from 1 species